GGAGAGGGGAUUGCAGUUUGACACUAAUCGAACCUGACUUUGCUUUGCUGUAGGACAAUUAUCAACUAAGACAGGAAAACCCUUCUCAAGGAAAAAUUAUGCAAAUGAGAAAUUUUUGUAUAGCCGACACAAACCCAAAAAAGUAACAGGGUGUUUUCACACCUUCCAACACACAAAUCAAUACACCGUUCAAUGAGAAAAUUCAUAGUGAACAUUUUGACCAGGGGCCAUAUAUCAGUUGAUGAAACCAACUGAGGGGGCGGAGGGAUGGACAUACCUUCCCCCAAAGAAAAUUUGAAAAUCUAGAUUCUCCUAGAUGUUAUACGUGGUAUUUGAAACCAGAAGUUGGUUGAGCCUUCGUAUGACACCUCCCCCUGGAUUCGUAUAUUCUUGUCAGUUGUAUCUCCGAGUACAAUUUCGGGGCCGGUUAAAUAAAUCUUGACAUCAGUACUUUUCAUUUCUUUACAUAUAUGUGAAGGGCACCGUAUUAGACGGGAUAGCUUGGAGAACUGGAAACAGCGAAGACGGCAGAAGAUUGGAUGAUAACCAUAUAAGUUUCUGGAUGACUGAUUUCAUUAACAAUGGAGCAACUAACGAAGAGAUAGGAAAGGAAGUUACCUGUGUCAGUUGCAAAUUUUUGUGGACGAUUCAGGAUGAUGGAACAGUUUGCAAGGAUUUGGAAAGAGCGUCUUUGUUUAUUUGCAGCAGCUUCUGGGUGACUGAUUUCAAUAACAACGGAACAAUUAAAUAAUAAAAAGAUUGGAAAGGACCUUAUCUCUGUCAUAGCUAAUGAUUCAAAAACGAACAUCGGAACGUUCACUGGAAUCACCAAAGAGUGAAGCAAGGCAAAGCAGAUCGUGAUAAACUGAUUUUGGAUAAAUGCUGUACUUUUUUAGUGUCCGAUGAAAAAGUCGACACAAUUGUCUUAGAUUAAAAAUUUUCGCUUUAAAAGCGAACGAAUCUUUCAAAGCGACUGGGAAAAAAAGUCAGAAAAGUCUUUUGGCAGGAAAAUUUAUCAAGGUUAAAGAUACUGCGCUUUUAAAAGAUACAAAAAGUUGGAAAAAAAACUAAGUCUUUUGGCGGGAAAAUUGACCUUAGGAAAAAAAAGUCUGCGCUUUUGAAUGGGGUGUGGUCUUAAGUUAAAAAUAUACUAAGUCUUUUGUUGGGAAAAAUCUUGCUUUGUACAACAGAUUUGUCCCAUCAAAAGUCAAAGUAUAUGGUUGAUUUCCGACUAGACUCUGUUCAAAAAUGCAGAAUUUUUUUCUUUUUGGCAACCCUAUAUAGUCAAAAAAUAGUAAAAGAGAUAGCCUACAUUUCGACUAG